rnacentral:rRNA from 1 species
CGGCAACAGCUCAAAUUUGAAAUCUGGCCCUCUCAGGGUCCGAGUUGUAAUUUGUAGAGGAUGUUUUGGGUACCGCCCCGGUUUAAAUUUCUUGGAACAGAAUGUCAAAGAGGGUGAGAAUCCCGU